rnacentral:misc_RNA from 1 species
CUUGAAGGAGCUGAGAAUAGCAUGCACUGUAGCUCAAAUGGAGCGUGAAGGAGGCAUCAGUCCUCGAGUAUCACCUUUGGCACAAGUCCGUGAUGCAGGCAAUCUUUUNNNNNCCAGGGCAGGCUUUGCCCUUCCUGGUGUUGAUGUUGAUGAAUAUGUAGUUAGGUAUAGAAGUGCUCUGGAGCUGAUAGAGCAUCUGCGUGCAAUGGGUGAAACUAAUGCUCUUUUGCA